rnacentral:rRNA from 1 species
UGGGGAAUUUUGGACAAUGGGCGAAAGCCUGAUCCAGCAAUGCCGCGUGUGUGAAGAAGGCCUUCGGGUUGUAAAGCACUUUUGUCCGGAAAGAAAUCCUUGGCUCUAAUACAGUCGGGGGAUGACGGUACCGGAAGAAUAAGCACCGGCUAACUACGUGCCAGCAGCCGCGGUAAUACGUAGGGUGCAAGCGUUAAUCGGAAUUACUGGGCGUAAAGCGUGCGCAGGCGGUUUGCUAAGACCGAUGUGAAAUCCCCGGGCUCAGCCUGGGAACUGCAUUGGUGACUGGCAGGCUAGAGUAUGGCAGAGGGGGGUAGAAUUCCACGUGUAGCAGUGAAAUGCGUAGAGAUGUGGAGGAAUACCGAUGGCGAAGGCAGCCCCCUGGGCCAAUACUGACGCUCAUGCACGAAAGCGUGGGGAGCAAACAGGAUUAGAUACCCUGGUAGUCCACGCCCUAAAACGAUGUCAACUAGUUGUUGGGGAUUCAUUUCCUUAGUAACGUAGCUAACGCGUGAAGUUGACCGCCUGGGGAGUACGGUCGCAAGAUUAAAACUUAAAGGAAUUGACGGGGUCAUAGCUGUUUCCU